rnacentral:rRNA from 1 species
UGUGAGUGAAGAAGGCCUUCGGGUUGUAAAGCUCUGUCAAGUGGGAAAAAAUGCUUUUAGUGAAUAGCUAAGGGAGUUGAUGGUACCACUAGAGGAAGCACCGGCUAACUCCGUGCCAGCAGCCGCGGUAAUACGGAGGGUGCGAGCGUUGUUCGGAAUUACUGGGCGUAAAGGGCGUGUAGGCGGAUAGGCAAGUCAGAUGUGAAAGCCCCGGGCUUAACCUGGGAAGUGCAUUUGAAACUGCCUGUCUUGAGUAUGGGAGGGGAGAGUGGAAUUCCCAGUGUAGAGGUGAAAUUCGUAGAUAUUGGGAGGAACAUCUGUGGCGAAGGCGACUCUCUGGACCAAUACUGACGCUGAGACGCGAAAGCGUGGGGAGCAAACAGGAUUAGAUACCCUGGUAGUCCACGCGGUAAACGAUGAGAACUAGGUGUAGCGGGUAUUGACCCCUGCUGUGCCGCAGUUAACGCAUUAA